AACCGAUUUCAAUUUUCACCACCCAGAAGAGAUCUCCGGUGCGAUCCAACGACGAACACUCUCCGUACAAUCUCACCGGUGUAAACACAUUCUUUUCAUCAACAACUUCAGGCAUCUGUUGAGCUACCUUUAUUAUCUUACAAAAGUUAAAGAGGAGAGACUGAACGUAUUGGAAAAAGCGUGAGCAAAAUCUGUAGAGGAUUAAAGUGGGAGAGUGGGGAGCAGUUCAUAAAAGCAUUUUGUUUGAGGGGGGUUUUCAAAAAGAUGAUGAUGAAAGCCAUCUGAAAAUGGCAUGAGCACUAGGAGCUUAAUAACAAGCUACAGACAAGCAGAUGGUUGUUUUGGUGAAGAGCUGUUUAGGCUCUAGAAUUAAAAUAUAGCAAAUUCUUGGCAAUGGAAAGUACUCUUUGAUAAGUGAUCUGAAUGACAGAAUAUUACCAAAGCAGCACCACCUAAGGCUGGUGGGUAAUGAUUCAGAGGUAAAAAGCGUGAAGCGCGCAAAAGCAGGUUCUAUUGGGAGAAGGCUACUACGCUGAAAGAAUGUCCAAACAAACAGUUGAGAUUCUGAAAAGAAGAGGAAAGGUUUUAGAGUCACAGAUUGAAUCGCUUAACGCUGUAAUAAAGGAUCUCAAGUUUGAGGCCUUGUUCUUUGAUGAAACAGCUACCGAGG